GAGGAAUAUUGGUCAAUGGACGCAAGUCUGAACCAGCCAAGUAGCGUGAAGGAUGACGGCCCUACGGGUUGUAAACUUCUUUUGUGCGGGAAUAAAGGAGCCUACGUGUAGGCUUUUGCAUGUACCGUCACGAAUAAGCAUCGGCUAACUCCGUGCCAGCAGCCGCGGUAAUACGGAGGAUGCGAGCGUUAUCCGGAUUUAUUGGGUUUAAAGGGAGCGUAGACGGGUUUUUAAGUCAGCUGUGAAAGUUUGGGGCUCAACCUUAAAAUUGCAGUUGAAACUGGAGACCUUGAGUACGGUUGAGGCAGGCGGAAUUCGUGGUGUAGCGGUGAAAUGCUUAGAUAUCACGAAGAACCCCGAUUGCGAAGGCAGCCUGCUAAGCCGCCACUGACGUUGAGGCUCGAAAGUGCGGGUAUCAAACA
rnacentral:rRNA from 1 species